UAUUAUUUUAAAAAUAAACAAGAAUUUAAAUAUUUACAUUUCUUUAAAGAUUUUAUAUGAUAAAAAUUUGAAAUAAAAACAUUAAUCUUAGAGUCUUAUUAUAUAUAUUUUUUAACAUCAUUUAAUAAAUAUGGUGCAAUGCUCAAUGGUUCAAAGGCUUCAAACUCUGAGAUCCGUCCAACCCUCAAAGAAGUAAUGUUUUGCCUCUAUUUAGUCCUAGUCCCAGUCCCACAUCGGAAGCGCAUGAAUUCUAUGUGCUCUAAGUGCCCUAUAAAUACCUUCAACAUCCAAGCCAAACGUGCCAACAAAUUGGGCCUGGAAACAUGGCCCAAAUUUAAGUUUUAUAAGCUUGUCAUUGGAUUGGGCCUAGUGGCUUGGACCAAAUUUAAUUAGUUUUAGUUUUGAAAGUAUUGGGCAUGGAAAUGUGCCUGAUGGAUAAUGGGCCUUUUAAUAGUUAACAAAUUUUUGUAACAAUUAUGGUCUGACCGGUUUGUAAAAAACCGAACGGUUUGUUCGGUUUGGUGGUUCAACUGUCGGUUUGAACGGUUCAAUACCGAUUUAACCACGAAACGGUUUAUUGAGAUGGACCGAACCAGAAAGUUCACGGUCGACGGUUCGACCAGUUGGACCGGCCGGUCCGGUCUCCUUUUUAAAACAAUGGUCACCUUUGUGAAUAAUCAAUUUGACUUGCCCAGUAUGGAGGAGAUACAUAGUUUAUUUUUGAGGUACGAGUUUCGACUUGAGCAACAACAUACAGUUAUGCAAGCCAACAAUGUUUAGAUUCAAGCUCAUACUACUCAGACUCAAUUGACUGCUUCUCAUUAUAACAAGAAACACUUCAAACACCCAUCCCACUUCUCCAAUUCAACACCCCAUUUCUCUAUUCCUGCUACUCUUGCUACGAAUUCCUUUCACCCAAGUAUCUUAGGUAGACCUCAAGGAAAUCCGCUUGUUUGCAAUUGGCUAUUGAAACUUGUUAAUUCUUUGAAUGGUCCAAAACCACAGUGUCAAAUCUGUGGCAAAUCUGGCUAUACUGCUCUUGUUUGCUACCAUAGAGGAAACCUUCAUUAUCAGCCUCCAUCUCCAAAGAAUUUUAAUACUACCUUCACUUUUGAUUCCCCACUUCCAACAUCCUCUCUUGUGCCUAGUUCUUUUGAUACAACUUCUCCUGUAAGGGAUCCCUCCUGGUUCAUGGAUUUUGGAGCCACACAUCAUUUUACUCCAGAUAUCUCCAUGAUACAAAAUCCAACUCCAUUUAUUGGCAAUGAACAGGUUAUGGUUGGCAAUGGUAAGAAAAUUCCCAUCUCUCAUUCUGCCAAUUCUCUUUUAUCUUUCUCCUCUUCUUCUCCUCUCAAAUUGAAUGACAUUUUGUAUGCUCCUACUCUUUCAAACAAUCUUUUAAGCGUGUCCAGACUUUAUGCUGAUAACACUGCAUUUGUAGAAUUCUAUCUUGACUUCUUUCUUGUGAAAGAUCAGGUCUCGAAGAAGGUUCUUCUGCAGGGCCAGCUUGUUAAUGGUCUUUAUUAAGUCUCUUCAGCUUCAAAGUCUCGUACAUCAAAUCUCUCCAAAGUCUUCCUCUCCAGCACUUAAGAAGCAAACCUAUGACACCAUUGUUUAGGACAUUCCAAUUCCAAGAUUGUCAAAAGAGUUUUAAAUCUUUGCAAUUCCAGUAUCAUACAUUUUGAUGUGGAUUUCUGUAAUUCUUGUUAGUUUGCUAAAAGCCACAAGCUUCCAUUUGUAAACUUUGAUUCUAGAGCUAAGUUUUCUUUUGAGUUAAUACAUUAUGAUCUUUGGGGUCUUUCCCCUAUUUAUUCUGUGAGUGAUGUUUUUUUGCUAUUUAUUGAUGAUUACUCCCGUUUUAGCUGGUUGUACCUACUUAAAACUAAAGAUGAGGCGUUGUCCAUUUUUCUUCAGUUCAAAAACCUUGUGGAAAACCAAUUUGAUGCUAAGAUAAAAAUAUUACAAACCGAUUGGGGAGGGGAGGGUAGAUUUGUCUCCACUUUCUUGGCUUCUCGUGGUAUCUCUCAUCGAGUCUCUUGUCCUUAUACUCUCCAACAAAAUGGGUGAGUUGAGAGAAAAAAUCGUCAUGUUGUUGAAAUGGGAUUAACUAUGCUGGUUCAUUCUAGAGUACCUAUGUCAUAUCGGCCAUUUGCGUUUCAGUCUACUGUUCAUAUCAUCAAUAGGCUUCCUACAUCUAUUCUUAACUUCAAAAGCCCCUUUGAGAUCAUUUUUUUAGGAAAUUCCUGAUUACAAUUCCUUCAAAAUUUUGGUUCUGCAUAUUUUCCUUGCUUUUGAUCGUAUAACUCUCAUAAGUUGUAACCAUGAUCAACUGAGUGUGUUUUUUGGGGUAACGGUUCCUAGCAUAAGGGUUUCUUGUGUCUUGAUGUUUCUACAAGUCACAUUAAUGUUUCAAGACAUGUUGUAUUUAAUGAAUUGGACUUUCCUUUCAAAAAGCUUUAGUCCACAUCUUCCCCUUCUAUUAUCUCUUAUUGUAUAACUAUUCAUUUUUUUUUUUUUCCUGCUUCUUCUUUUCCUUCUACCACCAGUCCACAAUCCUCAUCUACAUCCUUCCAAACUGGACCACUUUCUCCUACUACCCCUUUUUUUGUUUCCUAUUCCAAGUUACCUAGUGACCAUCAGUCUAGCCCACAUUCCAUUCCCUUAAAUUCUUCUUCAUCUUCUACCAAUUCCAACUUCCUUCCAAAUUAUGAUUCUUCUCCCCUUCUUCCUCCUCCUCCUCUUUUCCCUUCUUCUGUUGUAUCACCAUUGUGUCCUUCUGAUACAUCCAUUUCACCACAAAGUCCCAUCAUCCAUCGGUCUCCUACUUCCUCCAACAUUCAUCCCAUGUUCACCAGGUCUAAACAUGGUAUUCAUAAGCCCACAUUAUAUAACCUCUCCACUUUAGCUACCUCAAAUUCCAUUCUGACUGAGCCUACCACUUACCAACAGGAUUCUCAACAUUCUGUGUGGCAAUAGGCAAUGUAAGCUGAGUUUGAUGCCUUGCAGGCUAAUGACACUUUGUCCCUUGUACCUGCUCCACCUCAUUGCAAACCCAUUGGCUGUAAAUGGGUAUACAAGGUUAAACUCAAACCAGAUGGCAGUCUUGAGAGACAUAAGGCUUGAUUGGUUGCUAAGGGUUAUUCCCAAACUGCUGGAUUGGAUUAUUUUGAGACCUUUAGUCCAAUGGCCACAAUUCGGAUUGUUCUUACUUUGGCCAUGUCUAAGAAUUGGCUCGUUAAGCGAUUGGAUGUGCAUAGUGCUUUCCUACAUGGUGAAUUAGGGGAAGAUGUGAUUAUGGUGCAACCUCCCCGCUGUGUUCACUCAAAUAAUCCAUUUUAUGUCUAUAAGUUUCCAAAGGCUCUUUAUGGUCUUAAGCAAACACCACGGGCUGGGUAUACUAAACUUAGUUCCUCAUUGACUUGUUGGGGUUUCAAACAGUCUCAAGGUGAUUCCUCCAUGUUUAUUUUUCACUCUGGUGCAAAUAUGCCGAUUGUUUUGAUUUAUGUGGAUGACAUAUUGCUUACAAGAACUAAUUCUCAACUAAUAACUAAUCCGAUUUCCACUCUUCACUCUCAGUCUACACUCAAAGAUCUUGGAGAUCUAUAUUUUUUUCUUGGUAUUGAAGCUCAUUGAACAAAAAAUUCUUUGCAUCUUAGUCAGGCCAACCUCUUGAGGAUCCUACUCUCUACUGUAGUGUGGUUAGAGCUCUUCAAUAUUGCACCCUUACUUGUCCGGAUAUUUGUUUUACGGUAAACAAGGUUUGUCAAUUUAUGCAUUGUCCUACCAAUGUGCAUUGGCAAACAGUGAAACGAAUUCUUCGGUAUUUACAUGGCAUUGUUUCCCAUGGCCUCUCCAUUGCUGCUUCAUCAGAUCUCUCCUUAACAUGUUAUACUGAUGCUGAUUGGGCCUCAUGCCUUGAUGAUAGGAGGGGUACUAGUGGCUAUUGCACAUUACUUGGUUCAAGCUUGAUCUCUUGGAGCUCCUUCAAACAGAAAGUGUUUUCUCGUUCAAGCUCAAAAUUUGAGUAUAGAGGAUUAGCUAAUGCUGCUACUGAAUUAACUUGGGUGGAGUCUCUUCUUCAUGAAUUGUAGAUCCCAUUUUCUCCUCCACCAUUGCUGUUUUGUGACAACAUUAGUGCCUGUUACCUUAUUGUUAAUCCCAUUCUACAUUCUUGGACAAAACAUGUGGAGAUUGACUAUCAUUUUGUUCAUGAAAAGGUCUCCAAUGGCUCCUUGGCUGUUCACUUCACUCCUUUUGAAUCCCAGCUUGUUGAUAUAAUGACUAAAGCACUACCUACUUAGCGAUUUCUUGCAUUGCACAGCAAGCUCAUGGUUCUCCCAAGACCUGUGAUCUUGAGGGGGGAUGUCAGAACUAAUAAUGUAUUACUUAGUGGGGUUUAGUUAUAUGAUAUUCUCACAUGACACCUGUACAAAUGUGUGAGCUCUCUUUGUCUUGUAGUGUAAGAUAUCUCUCUCUCUCUCUGUAAUAGCCCUCUGAUACGGUUAACAAAAUACAAAGAAAAAUUCCUUUCUGCA